rnacentral:rRNA from 1 species
CACGUAGGGCGCAAGCGUUGUCCGGAAUUAUUGGGCGUAAAGAGCUCGUAGGCGGUCUGUUGCGUCCGCUGUGAAAACCCGGGGCUUAACCCUGGGCUGGCAGUGGAUACGGGCAGACUGGAGGUAUGCAGGGGAGAACGGAAUUCCUGGUGUAGCGGUGAAAUGCGCAGAUAUCAGGAGGAACACCGGUGGCGAAGGCGGUUCUCUGGGCAUUACCUGACGCUGAGGAGCGAAAGUGUGGGGAGCGAACAGG